CCUACGGGUGGCAGCAGUCGAGAAUCAUUCACAAUGGGGGAAACCCUGAUGGUGCGACGCCGCGUGGGGGAAUGAAGGUCUUCGGAUUGUAAACCCCUGUCAUGUGGGAGCAAAUUAAAAAGAUAGUACCACAAGAGGAAGAGACGGCUAACUAUGUGCCAGCAGCCGCGGGAAUACAGAGGUAUCAAGCGUUGUUCGGAAUCACUGGGGGUAAAGCGUGCGUAGGGUGUUUCGUAAGUCGUGUGUGAAAGGCGCGGGCUCAACCCGCGGACGGCACAUGAUACUGCGAGACUAGAGUAAUGGAGGGGGAACCGGAAUUCUCGGUGUAGCAGUGAAAUGCGUAGAUAUCGAGAGGAACACUCGUGGCGGAGGCGGGUUCCUGGACAUUAACUGACGCUGAGGCACGAAGGCCAGGGGAGCGAAAGGGAUUAGAUACCCCAGUAGUC
rnacentral:rRNA from 1 species